CAUCAAGACAAGGAGCAAUUUUUUUAUGAAGAUUUCCACGCGCGUGAAUUCGGAUUCUGAACCAGAUGUCAGCAGAGGAAAGUUUUCUGGGAGAUAACGCAUCAGGAGUUUGCCAACAAACAAACAGAUGCAGUUAAACACAUUCGCCUUCAGAUUGAGGAGUCAAGGUCAAGAUGUGCCGAGAGCUGACGGCAACGAGGCGAGGACGCCUGUCUGCAGAGACCGCACAGUCUAAAAUCAAACAUUUUGCAACUCACAAAGACUGAUUUGUUUUUGUGUAACCGCCUAAACAUGACGCCGUAGUAAUCUGUUGUCACAUUUCUUCAUAUUCUGAUUAAACCGGCU